rnacentral:rRNA from 1 species
CCUACGGGAGGCAGCAGUGGGGAAUUUUGGACAAUGGGCGCAAGCCUGAUCCAGCCAUGCCGCGUGCGGGAAGAAGGCCUUCGGGUUGUAAACCGCUUUUGUCAGGGAAGAAAAGGUUCUGGUUAAUACCUGGGACUCAUGACGGUACCUGAAGAAUAAGCACCGGCUAACUACGUGCCAGCAGCCGCGGUAAUACGUAGGGUGCAAGCGUUAAUCGGAAUUACUGGGCGUAAAGCGUGCGCAGGCGGUUAUGCAAGACAGAUGUGAAAUCCCCGGGCUCAACCUGGGAACUGCAUUUGUGACUGCAUAGCUAGAGUACGGUAGAGGGGGAUGGAAUUCCGCGUGUAGCAGUGAAAUGCGUAGAUAUGCGGAGGAACACCGAUGGCGAAGGCAAUCCCCUGGACCUGUACUGACGCUCAUGCACGAAAGCGUGGGGAGCAAACAGGAUUAGAUACCCUGGUAGUCCACGCCCUAAACGAUGUCAACUGGUUGUUGGGAGGGUUUCUUCUCAGUAACGAAGCUAACGCGUGAAGUUGACCGCCUGGGGGAGGACGGUCGGCGAGUUAGUUAAGUUAAAGUUAGUUAGUUAGAGGCGNGAGAGNGCCGACGGACGACGACGAGGGAGGAGG